UGAGGAACAUGACUUUCGGCGGGGGAGUAGCCGGCCCAACGGCCGGGUAAUACCGCGUACGACCUCUCGGGGACAUCCCCGGUUGGUGAAAGCAGCAAUGCACCGAAAGAGUGCCUCGCGGCCUAUCAGCUAGUUGGUGGGGUAACGGCUCACCAAGGCAACGACGGGUAGCUGGUCUGAGAGGAUGGCCAGCCACAUUGGGACUGAGACACGGCCCAGACUCCUACGGGAGGCAG
rnacentral:rRNA from 1 species